AGAGUUUUAUUCUGGCUCAGAACGAACGCUGGCAGCGUGGAUUAGGCAUGCAAGUCGAACGAGAAUCUGCCUUGUAGCAAUAUGGGGUGGAGGACAGUGGCGGAAGGGUGAGUAACGCGUGGGUAACCUGCCUCCAAGAUGGGGACAACCUCUCGAAAGGGAGACUAAUACCGAAUGUGGUCCUCCUGUCACAUGGCAGGAUGACUGAAGGUGGGUUCUUCGGAACCUGCCGCUUGGAGAGGGGCCCGCGUCCCAUCAGCUUGUUGGCGAGGUAACGGCUCACCAAGGCUUACGGGUAGCUGGUCUGAGAGGAUGGUCAGCCACACUGGGACUGAGACACUGCCCAGACUCCUACGGGAGGCUGCAGUCGAGGAUCUUUUGCAAUGGGCGCAAGCCUGACAAAGCGACGCUGCGUGGAGGAUGAAGGCCUUCGGGUCGUAAACUCCUGUCAUUCGGGAAAAACGAUCUCGCCGUGAAUAGCGGCGGGAAGUGAUGGUACCGGAAGAGGAAGUGGCUGCUAACUCUGUGCCAGCAGCAGCGGUAAUACAGAGGCCACAAGCGUUGUUCGGAUUUACUGGGCGUAAAGGGUGCGUAGGCGGUUCCGUGUGUCGGAUGUGAAAUCCCACUGCUCAACGGUGGAACGGCAUUCGAGACUACGGGACUAGAGUGCAGGAGGGGAGAGCGGAACUCUUGGUGUAGCGGUGAAAUGCGUUGAUAUCAAGAAGAACGCCGGUGGCGAAGGCGGCUCUCUGGAAUGCAACUGACGCUGAGGCACGAAAGCUGGGGGAGCAAACAGGAUUAGAUACCCUGGUAGUCCCAGCCCUAAACGGUGUGCACUUGGUGUGAGGAGAAUUGACCCUCUUCGUGCCGGAGCUAACGCGAUAAGUGCACCGCCUGGGGAGUACGGCCGCAAGGUUAAAACUCAAAGAAAUUGACGGGGGCCCGCACAAGCGGAGGAGCAUGUGGCUUAAUUCGAUGCAACGCGAAGAACCUUACCAGGGUUUGACAUGCAGCUGCAAAUCCGCCGAAAGGUGGACGCCUUCGAGGGUGCUGCACAGGUGCUGCAUGGCUGUCGUCAGUUCGUGCCGUGAGGUGUUGGGUUAAGUCCCGCAACGAACGCAACCCCUAUGGUUAGUUGCCACCGCGGGUGAUGAGCCCGCGAGCACUCUAGCCAGACUGCCCGUGUAAGCGGGAGGAAGGUGGGGAUGACGUCAAGUCAGUAUGGCCCUUACAUCCUGGGCCGCACACGUGCUACAAUGGUGGGUACAAUGGGAUGCAAUGCCGCGAGGUGGAGCAAAUCCCCAGAACCCGCCCCAGUUCGGAUUGAAGUCUGCAACUCGACUUCAUGAAGUUGGAUUCGCUAGUAACGGCGCAUCAGCUACGACGCCGUGAAUACGUUCCCGGGCCUUGUACACACCGCCCGUCACAUCAUGAAAGCCGUCUGCACCCGUAGUCGCUGAGCCAACCCGCAAGGGGGGCAGGCGCCGAAGGUGUGGGUGGUGAUUGGGAUGAAGUCGUAACAAGGUA
rnacentral:rRNA from 1 species